CUUUGACUUAUCGUAUAAUGCCAUUAACUUCAACGAUGUGACUUACUGUAAUUUAGAGGCUCUUCGAAAUGAUUCAUAUAGCUACGAAAUAUAUAAUUAUGGAUGUGAAGUGGCUACAAAAUAUCAAAGUUCAAACUCCUAUCUUCGGUCUUCAAAAAUGACUAAGGAAUUGAACAUAACUGUUUCGAUGCCUGCAAACCUAACCUUUUUUCGAUUAUCGCAUUAUAUGACAUCCUAUAAGGA
rnacentral:lncRNA from 1 species